UCUUGGUUGUGGUAUUUAUUAAGCAGCUCAACUUUUUAAUCGAUUUUGUAAGGCUUUGGAGCGUUAUCGUGUCUGGGAAGAUGUUUCAUGGUUCUUCGUCGAUGCUCUGCCCAGACAUAGUUUGGGCUGUUGUUUUUUUGCUUCGUUGAUAAGGAUGCUUACUUCUUUCAAUGUAUCAGAGCUGUAGUAAGGGUUGAUAGUGGUGAUGUUUAUAUUGUUGUCUUUAAAGGCUAAUUUUGUCUUUCAAAGACUUUUGUUUUGCACUGCUUUUUAAGUUUUAAUGUCUAUCAAUAUUGGACUUUUAUUUUGCAUUAGCUUCCACAAUUUUUGUUUUUGGGUGGUUUGUUUGUAGUGGUUGAGAUGAUGUAUGGGGGAAGUUAAUUAUGAAAUUUUAGACUAUUAAUGUUGUUUCUUAAUUAACUGAUUUGACGUAUGUGAUCACUUAUUUUGUA